AAGGCCCCACCCCCACAGACUUAAGUGAAGACCCGCAUUCCUACUUUCUAUCCCAAAUGUUGCGUUUUCUAAGACCACUCUGGCCCGCCAUACCUCCAUCCUGGGCCUAUAAAAAUCCGAGACCCUAGCAAGACAGAAACGGAAGCUGCUGGACGACGAGAUGAAAAUAUCGGCCAAAGAAGACAAGCCACCGGACAUUGAGAGGACAUCGAGGGGAGCCCCCGCUUGUCGCACGCCCUGCCACAGGGAUGAGGGAACCUCUCCAGUUUCAAUAUAUAAGCAUGAUUAUUUAGACGGGUCAGGACCUACCUCUGGACAGAAGGAUAAAGUUAGCUUCCUGUGAUUUACAAAGUCUAUGUACGACACAAAGAGCCAGAUUAACAAAAUUGGGAUUAUUUUACAGAGAAUAAGAAGUAACUAAAUAUCAGGUAAACAACCAAUUAUAUCUACCACAGAAGGAAUUUUAUUUCUUCACUUUAAAACAAAUACUUAAAAAUGGUCAGUUGGAAACAAAUUUCAUAAGUUUCUGAUAUUUGCAAAUAAUUAUAUGUUCUCAGAAAUAUUUGUUUUUAUUACUUAAUAAAUACAUUUUUACUACUUAAUAUGUGUUGGGCACUUAUAGAUAUUGAUAAUGUAACAGUAAAUAACGUAACACAUGUAGUCUAGCAGCGGCGUAGAAAAUGUUUACGAUAAAGUAAUAGAGUGGGGACCACAUCAGUCCAUGACCUAAACCUUCUUUGCUGAACUCACUGCAGGGGGUGUACACAUAUUACUUAUGACCCUCUUUCACAUAGCCAUCAUGGGUGGAACCUUGGGCGAAUAUUCAACCUGAAUAUAACCACCAACUUACUCUCUUUUCAGACAGCAUGGUCUUCUCCUAGAGAAGAUCUAAUUUAGAACAUUGUCCCCCAACACUGAAUUUGAAAUUGAUUCCUCAUGUUCAGGAUAUUCAAAAAAGUUUUCUAAACUUUCUUUUUAAAAGUAUCCAACCACGUUGAUCACUUAAGAAAAAGAAGCCUUGUGCUAUUAAAGAAGAAUAAGGAGGAGGAAGAGGAGGAGACGGAAGAGAGGAGAAGAGAGGAGCAGGGGAAAAGCAUACGGACAGAAGAACACACAAAAGACUGAGAGUUGAUUCUGAUGGCAUUUUCUUUCUUAGGUAGUUUUUUCUAAGCUCCAGACUCAUUAUCAUCCUUGUUUUCUACAAGCCACACUAAUAUCAUCUUAAUAAAUUAUUUUAUUUUUUGCUGAAAAACAUCUUGAGUCCUUUUCUGUAACUUGUGAUGAAUUAAUUCCUAAAUAACGUAGGUCACAUGUGCUAAUAACUAUUGUUGUAUUUGUUGUGCACUUCAGGCAGUUUACAUAAAUGAUGGAAUAUUAGGUCUGAACAUUUAUUCAAGCCAACCAUCUGGGACAAUCAGUACCCUAGUCAGACAUACCCACUUCAGGAGUGUUCAUCUAUUAAUGAAUCACAAAGGCCACUCUUGGGGAGAUAACUGCAAGUCUUUCAGCUCUUGCUAAAAUCCAAAGGAAAAUAAAAGAGAAUUUCAAUACGUGUGGCUCUAAUGUUCGGGAUGAAAAUGUGAACCUAUCUUUCACUAUAUAAUGUAUUUUCCCAAGUACUUAUUACCCCUUGAGGUAGUUAUUAACACUGCUAAGAAAUAUUUACGACUUCUUGCCUCUAUCUACAUGGUGAGAUUUUGUGUCCUGCUCCCUGUAAUACAGGUGGAUAUAGCAGCAAGUUCCAGCUAAAGAAUUAUGAGUAAAAGUGACAUGCUUCACGGCCUAUCAUCUCCCCCAACUUUGCCAUGGACACCAACAAUGCUUGGGAUGAUUGCUGACCUAUCAACAUAAAUCCUUAGGAGAAGAUGAUGGGCUGAGUUGACAGCUAAACUCAGUAUUAGGUAAUUGAAUGUUUCAUUUGAUUGUAAAAAUUUAGGGUGUAUUUUUAAUGACGAAUAAGUCACUAAAUUCUACCAUAUUUUUCCAUAGUUUGAUAAGACUAUCAGAGUUUUUAUCUUAAGAUGACUAUUCACAGCACAGAUGUACAUAUCAGUUUAUCCCUGUAUGAUGCUUUACAAUCAUUUCACUGCCAACAUUCAGCCAAUGUCUCUAUUUGUGUUUUGAAAAAACUUCACCUGUGAUUAAUGUGUACAACUGAUUUUUGUUUAUGUGUUGUUAACAUUUGAGAAGUUAUCCAUCUAUGAAAGUAAUAGCACAUUGAAAAGAUUGGUCCUCUGAGUUUCAAAUAGCAAGGGGAAAAUAAAUGGAGCUGUGGGAAAUUUCAGGAAGGCUAAAUAAACCAAAUAAAGUUCAACUUCCAUCUGAGUCUACUAGUCAAUAUUUUAAGCCAUCUUCUGGAUGGAAAGGAAAAGUGGAAAUUUACACUAUUGUACAAUUGUUAUUUUGUUAAAUACUAUCUGUACUAAUAGACUAAAGGUCUCCUGUUAGGGGUGAUGUGAUAUGUUAUUAAAUAUAAGGGAAUUAGAAUGAAUUAUAUUAAAUCUACUGUGAGAAUAUGCCUUGUGACUUUUCAGAUAAAGUCCAAAAAUAAUUUAAAAUUUGGGAUAAAGAAGAGGACGCUUAUCAUUGGCUUUUACUAGUUGCUUGUUAACACAUGCACAAAAUCAUAUUUACUCAUUUUUCAAACAUUAUAAAUAUUUUUCCCCCUUCUCUCUUGUGUGAAGUUAAAACCGUCUCACCAUGACCUUUUCAGUAUUCUGUAAUUUGAUUUGCUUGCCAUACCCACCUUGCCCUGUUUACCAUCCCAGGAAGUGUGAUUGGAACAGACAACCAGUCAAAAUGGAGAAUAUUAAAAAGGUCAAAGUAGUAAAAUUUACUGUCCAACUUUUCCAGGAAAUAAAAGAAUAUUUACAGUUUAAUAUGUGCCUCAGAUGACAGGCUGUCCAAAGAAACAAAAGUGAGCAAGAUUGUAUUUAGCUUAUGAUAGCAAAUAUAACAGGCAAAGGGAUUCAAGAAGGUGUUAUAAUUAGUAGUUAUCCCCAUAUUUAUUAUUUUGGAUGUUUAAAAGAAAGCCUUCUUGUCGAUAUGUCAGAAGUAACUUUGAAACUUGAGAGGGGAAAAAGAUAAAACAACUGCCUUAAUUUUAUAAUUUUCUAACUGACAAUGCAUGAAAUAAUUCAUGUUUUCACAGUUUACCAGAAUUAAAAUUCGUUAUGUCCAAUUAAAUUGAAAAAAUGCAUACAUAAGAUAGAGCUGGGUCAUCCAUUGAUGCUUAUAUUUUGGAGUGAGG
rnacentral:lncRNA from 1 species